rnacentral:lncRNA from 1 species
CCGCUCCACACAGCUGGUCUUAGGAACUCGCUCUGAUCCUUGCGUUUGCGACUGUGUCUUUCUCCAGGCUCUCUCACUCCUGCUUCCUUCAGAAUCUCCCAAAUCAACACUCUGCUUGCCGGCUCCAGAGACACUCACCAGAGGGAGCAGAGGGGCCCCGGUUGGAAGCAGGCGCCCAUGAGGAAGCCUUUGCAGGAUGAGUGUCAUCCUCCAGAGAGGCGGGCUGCCCGGAGACAAAGCCUCUACUCAACAACAAACACCUCCUUGUGCCAAAAAAGAGAGAAAAGCUCACAUGUGUCUCCCGGCCAAAUCACUCACUGUUUACAUCUGUGAAGCGCUGCAUUGUUUUGGAGCAGCUCUGGCCCAAAACAUUUCCCUCAGCCCCACUCUCCACCCUGCCUACUCUCAUUUUCUGUUCACUCUGCCGUGAGGCUGUGUGGGAGAAAGAAUAAAAG